rnacentral:lncRNA from 1 species
AUGAAGAUAAUGAAAGAUGCAAAAUAUUACGUUUUCUCUCAUAGUGAGAAUGCACCAAGGGAUCUGAAGAGAAAACCAGCAAACAAACAAACCAAAACAAAUGGCCAGCAAAGACAUGGAAGAUACUUAACAUCUCUAGUGAGGAAAGAAGAAUUAAAUCCCAGAGAGAGAACCCUUCCCACUGCUGCAAUGGCUUGUAUCUGUAGGAUGUCAUACAAGUGAGGGCGGGUACAGGAUAGAGCGAGGCCUGUCAUUGGAUGAGAAGGAAGGAUGGGCAGGAGAAAAGUUUGAGGGAAGAGGAAGAAACUGGAAUGGAAGAGAUGGGAAGGAAGCCACAGAGAGAACAUGGAGGCUGACGUUAAGAUUCCACUCUGUGUAUUUACAGGUGGUUAGGAAUAUUCUUAAGGGAUGGAUGUGUAUAGGGCUUUGUAUGUUUAGGUGGGCAAUUAUAUCUUAUCAAUUGGGUCAGAGGUUAUUGUGUUGUGUGUCCUUUCAUGUAGCAAUUUAAGUUUAAGAGAGUGUGGGGUGGCUAGAGACACUGACCCACCACGGAGUUGGGCUGAGUGCUUCUGGCAGUGUGAUGUGGGAUGGAGCAGAGUGGGCAAGACGCUUUGCUGACUGAGAUGACGAUGUCUACCAGAAAUAUUGGGGACAAAAGAUAGCCUUUUAUUUUUUAUAAUUUUACAGCUACAAGUAUCAAACAAGCAAACGGUAGUGGACAAAAGAUUGUGAAAAGGGCCUUGUAAACUA